GAAAAAAGGAGGAAGUGACAAGCAAUAUACUUUAAACAAACAUAACACCAGUACCCAAAAAGACUUUGAAUCUAUAGUAGGUUCAUUUAAAAUACAACUCAGAGAGAGAGGAUAUCCAAAUAAGAUACUGGAUGCAGCCACCAGGAAGGUGAAUUCCACUAACAGGAGCAAGUUACCAGAGGAACACCCCAAGAAACAUAACAACUGCAUGAUUUGGCCUUUAACACUAACACCAUUUUUAUCUAAAAUCCAAAAAAUUAUCUCAACACACUGUCAUCUGCCAGAAGACAUCCCAGGAUGCCAAAGGACACCAAUAAUUGCUCAUAAAAGGUCCAGAAAUCUGAGAGAUCUUAUUCCCCUAAGGACUUAAUGAUAAAACAGACUACACUUGCUAUUUAUAAUGUGUACUUAAAUGGUAUCAGCGCACGAUUGCUUUUUCUCACACUAGAAUGCCACAGUAACAGAACCAAUGUUACCAACAGAAGUUGUGAUUCUGUGAAACAAGAAGAUUUGAAAGGGUCACUUUUUCCACAUCAAAAGCAAGAAAACUCAGGUUCAACAAGAAAUACAACAAGGACAAAGCGGAUUGGAUGGUAUAAUCUGCUGGAUUUUGUCAUUAGAAAUGGAGUUAGGGAUUCAGCAGUUAGGAACUUUUUAAAAAGUCAUUUAAAUCCACAUCCCAGAUCUGGAUCAGGAUAAUCAUAUGUGCAUGCAAGUGCCUUAAUGCUUCAUUGCAAGCUGUUUUUAUGACAAAGCAUCCCCUGCAUUGUGGAGGAUUAAAACAGCAGGGAACCUUCUUACCACCAUCAUUAUCAUCAUCAACAACAACAAAUUUUGAAAUAAAAAAUAAAUUGCUGGACACCACCCCAAAUCUGACUGAGGAGCAGGAAAUAUGAACCUCUUUUAUCCUCCACAGUUAUAGCAUUUUGAUACCAUUUUUUAAAAAUUGAUUUAAAACAGGAAUUGAGUGAUAAAGGAUUUAAUAUACUCAGUGCUU
rnacentral:lncRNA from 11 species